AAUAUUGCUUUGUUUGUCUAUAUGUCAGUUAAGAGUGCUUUUUUAUAUUGUAGAUUGUGUGUAGGUCUUCUAUUAGCUUCACGCCAUACUUCUUGUUCUAUUUGUAUAGUAUUCUUUUAGACCUUGUAUAGAACUUGUCUAACAUAAAAGGAGUUGGGAUCUCUAUCAAAGCUACAUUUUGCACAUCAUAAGUGCCACAUGGUUAGGUUUUGUAGUAACAUCCACGAAGUCUCUUUGGAGAUAUGGAUUGGCAGUAAGAUAUAUUUUUUUUGUAGGGAUGAAGGAUGAAAGUUCCUAUAUAGUACUUUUAUCUAGUAUAUGAGGGGGCAUAGAGUGGCCACUUCUCGGAGUAGAGUAAGUCUCUCCCAUGUUGGUUUCACAAUUGGGCAAUUCCAAAAUACAUGUUGUAUUAUCUCUAUUGUCUCGCUUUUGUAAAGUUUGCAAUUGAGGUCCAUUUUUAUAAACUUGCACCAAUAUUCCACUAGAAUGUCUUUGGCUAGAAAAAACUAAUGCAUAGUGGAUACUUUUUAUGGAAGCUAGGAGUGCUAAACUUUUUUUGUAGAAUAGUCGGCAUUGUAUGUCUGUGUAAUUAUGCUUGCGGAGUAAACUUUUAUCUUUGAGGGGUGUGGAUGAGCACAUUUUAUCUAUUUGAUAGCAGAUCCUAGCAGUGUAAUCAUAAAUAGUUUGUGUUGGCUUUGGGCUAUGAAUCCUCCAACUCCAUUUCUCAAGUUCGAAUAUAAGUGCCUGGAUUAGUCUAUUGUUGACUAGCCAUUGUGUAUUGGGCUAGCAGACUGGGCUAUGAGGAUUGAAGCUGAUACAUGCAUUCU
rnacentral:lncRNA from 1 species